GACGAACGCUGGCGGCGUGCCUAAUACAUGCAAGUAGAACGCUGAAGGAGGAGCUUGCUCUUCUGGAUGAGUUGCGAACGGGUGAGUAACGCGUAGGUAACCUGCCUGGUAGCGGGGGAUAACUAUUGGAAACGAUAGCUAAUACCGCAUAAUAGUAGAUGUUGCAUGACAUUUACUUAAAAGGUGCAAUUGCAUCACUACCAGAUGGACCUGCGUUGUAUUAGCUAGUUGGUGGGGUAACGGCUCACCAAGGCGACGAUACAUAGCCGACCUGAGAGGGUGAUCGGCCACACUGGGACUGAGACACGGCCCAGACUCCUACGGGAGGCAGCAGUAGGGAAUCUUCGGCAAUGGACGGAAGUCUGACCGAGCAACGCCGCGUGAGUGAAGAAGGUUUUCGGAUCGUAAAGCUCUGUUGUAAGAGAAGAACGAGUGUGAGAGUGGAAAGUUCACACGGUGACGGUAUCUACCAGAAAGGAC
rnacentral:rRNA from 1 species